rnacentral:lncRNA from 1 species
UUAAGCGUUAGGCAGUGGCUUAUUCUCCAAAGCUGGCGCUCAGCGCUGGAAUUGGCGCUGAGCGGUAGCUGCGAUUCUUCCUUUGCACCUUUUUUCAUCUCCUCUUGAGGCCAACUUCUCCCUACUUCACUUUCCAUCCUCCAAUUCUCAUUAAAUCUUGUCAAAAAAAUGUAAAACCAAGCAUAAUAUCUCUAAAACCAC